rnacentral:rRNA from 1 species
GAUGAACUUUGGCGGCGUGCCUAAUACAUGCAAGUCGAGCGAACAGACGAGGAGCUUGCUCCUUUGACGUUAGCGGCGGACGGGUGAGUAACACGUGGGUAACCUACCUAUAAGACUGGGAUAACUUCGGGAAACCGGAGCUAAUACCGGAUAAUAUUUCGAACCGCAUGGUUCGAUAGUGAAAGAUGGCUUUGCUAUCACUUAUAGAUGGACCUGCGCCGUAUUAGCUAGUUGGUAAGGUAACGGCUUACCAAGGCAACGAUACGUAGCCGACCUGAGAGGGUGAUCGGCCACACUGGAACUGAGACACGGUCCAGACUCCUACGGGAGGCAGCAGUAGGGAAUCUUCCGCAAUGGGCGAAAGCCUGACGGAGCAACGCCGCGUGAGUGAUGAAGGUCUUCGGAUCGUAAAACUCUGUUAUUAGGGAAGAACAAACGUGUAAGUAACUGUGCACGUCUUGACGGUACCUAAUCAGAAAGCCACGGCUAACUACGUGCCAGCAGCCGCGGUAAUACGUAGGUGGCAAGCGUUAUCCGGAAUUAUUGGGCGUAAAGCGCGCGUAGGCGGUUUUUUAAGUCUGAUGUGAAAGCCCACGGCUCAACCGUGGAGGGUCAUUGGAAACUGGAAAACUUGAGUGCAGAAGAGGAAAGUGGAAUUCCAUGUGUAGCGGUGAAAUGCGCAGAGAUAUGGAGGAACACCAGUGGCGAAGGCGACUUUCUGGUCUGUAACUGACGCUGAUGUGCGAAAGCGUGGGGAUCAAACAGGAUUAGAUACCCUGGUAGUCCACGCCGUAAACGAUGAGUGCUAAGUGUUAGGGGGUUUCCGCCCCUUAGUGCUGCAGCUAACGCAUUAAGCACUCCGCCUGGGGAGUACGACCGCAAGGUUGAAACUCAAAGGAAUUGACGGGGACCCGCACAAGCGGUGGAGCAUGCGGUUUAAUUCGAAGCAACGCGAAGAACCUUACCAAAUCUUGACAUCCUUUGACCCUUCUAGAGAUAGAAGUUUCCCCUUCGGGGGACAAAGUGACAGGUGGUGCAUGGUUGUCGUCAGCUCGUGUCGUGAGACGUUGGGUUAAGUCCCGCAACGAGCGCAACCCUUAAGCUUAGUUGCCAUCAUUAAGUUGGGCACUCUAAGUUGACUGCCGGUGACAAACCGGAGGAAGGUGGGGAUGACGUCAAAUCAUCAUGCCCCUUAUGAUUUGGGCUACACACGUGCUACAAUGGACAAUACAAAGGGCAGCGAAACCGCGAGGUCAAGCAAAUCCCAUAAAGUUGUUCUCAGUUCGGAUUGUAGUCUGCAACUCGACUACAUGAAGCUGGAAUCGCUAGUAAUCGUAGAUCAGCAUGCUACGGUGAAUACGUUCCCGGGUCU